rnacentral:misc_RNA from 1 species
AUGGAUUUUGGAUGAUGUGUGGACAAUUUUUACCCUAGGGAAGCAACCCAAAGCAGAGCAUUGUUUGAUUAUCGAGAAAGUUCCAGUGAUGAUAGCUUGACUUCCCACUACUGCAGCAAGUAUGGCUAUGACAAAAACUGGCCAUCUUAAUUUAUCUGGUACAGAUACAUAAAAUCCAAUUCGGUAAUCACCAUCAACAACAUGAUGCUUAGAUAGAUAGGCAGCUUGCCCCAUAUAUGCAAGAACC